GAGUGUUUCAAACCUGCUCUAUGAUAGGGAAUGUUGAAACCUAUGAGUUGAAUGCAAGCAUUACAAAGAGGUUUCUGAGAAUGCUUCUGUCUAUUUUUUAUGGGAAGAUAUUUACUUUUUCACCGUAGGCGUCAAGGCGAUCGAAAUGUCCACUUCCACAAACUACAAAAAGCGUGUUUCAAACAUGCUCUAUGAAAGGGAAUGUUCACCUCUAUGUGUUGAAUGGAA
rnacentral:misc_RNA from 1 species